UGGAUCGAUGAUGACCACUGGUGGCGUACGAGUCAGACACGAUGACUACGCGUGAAAUCUGAGGUCCAA